UAGGGAAUCUUCCGCAAUGGGCGAAAGCCUGACGGAGCAACGCCGCGUGAGUGAUGAAGGUCUUCGGAUCGUAAAACUCUGUUAUUAGGGAAGAACAAAUGUGUAAGUAACUAUGCACGUCUUGACGGUACCUAAUCAGAAAGCCACGGCUAACUACGUGCCAGCAGCCGCGGUAAUACGUAGGUGGCAAGCGUUAUCCGGAAUUUUUGGGCGUAAAGCGCGCGUAGGCGGUUUUUUAAGUCUGAUGUGAAAGCCCACGGCUCAACCGUGGUGGGUCAUUGGUAACUGGAUAACUUGAGUGCUGAAGAGUAAAGUGGAAUUCCAUGUGUGUCGGUGAAAUGCGCAGAGAUAUGGAGGAACCCCGUUAGCGAAGGCGACUUUCUGGUCUGUAACUGACGCUGAUGUGCGAAAGCGGGGGGAUCAAACAGG
rnacentral:rRNA from 1 species